rnacentral:rRNA from 1 species
UACGUAGGGUGCGAGCGUUGUCCGGAAUUAUUGGGCGUAAAGAGCUUGUAGGCGGUUUGUCGCGUCUGCUGUGAAAAUCCGGGGCUCAACCCCGGACUUGCAGUGGGUACGGGCAGACUAGAGUGUGGUAGGGGAGACUGGAAUUCCUGGUGUAGCGGUGAAGUGCGCAGAUAUCAGGAGGAACACCGAUGGCGAAGGCAGGUCUCUGGGCCAUAACUGACGCUGAGAAGCGAAAGCAUGGGGAGCGAACAGG